GCGAACAUAGUUUAAUGGCAGAACGGCCUAGUCACCCACUAGCGCUGGCGCGGGUUCGAUCCCCGCUGUUCGCUCAA
rnacentral:tRNA from 1 species